rnacentral:rRNA from 1 species
UCCUGAGUACGGCGGAACACGUGAAAUUCCGUCGGAAUCCGGGAGGACCAUCUCCCAAGGCUAAAUACUCCCUAGUGACCGAUAGUGAACCAGUACCGUGAGGGAAAGGUGAAAAGCACCCCGGAAGGGGAGUGAAACAGUUCCUGAAACCGUGUGCCUACAAGUAGUUAGAGCCCGUUAAUGGGUGAUAGCGUGCCUUUUGUAGAAUGAACCGGCGAGUUACGAUUUGUUGCAAGGUUAAGCGGAAAAAGCGGAGCCGUAGCGAAAGCGAGUCUGAAUAGGGCGCAUAAGUAACAGGUCGUAGACCCGAAACCAGGUGAUCUACCCAUGUCCAGGAUGAAGGUAAGGUAAUACUUACUGGAGGUCCGAACCCACGCACGUUGAAAAGUGCGGGGAUGAGGUGUGGGUAGCGGAGAAAUUCCAAUCGAACUUGGAGAUAGCUGGUUCUCUCCGAAAUAGCUUUAGGGCUAGCCUCGAGGUAAAGAGUCAUGGAGGUAGAGCACUGUUUGGACUAGGGGCCCUUCUCGGGUUACCGAAUUCAGAUAAACUCCGAAUGCCAUGUACUUAUACUCGGGAGUCAGACUGCGAGUGAUAAGAUCCGUAGUCGAAAGGGAAACAGCCCAGACCACCAGUUAAGGUCCCCAAAUAUAUGUUAAGUGGAAAAGGAUGUGGGGUUGCUUAGACAACCAGGAUGUUGGCUUAGAAGCAGCCACCAUUGAAAGAGUGCGUAAUAGCUCACUGGUCGAGUGACCCCGCGCCGAAAAUGUACCGGGGCUAAACAUAUUACCGAAACUGUGGAUGAACCUCUUUAGAGGUUCGUGGUAGGAGAGCGUUCUAAGGGCGGUGAAGUCAGACCGGAAGGACUGGUGGAGCGCUUAGAAGUGAGAAUGCCGGUAUGAGUAGCGAAAGAAGGGUGAGAAUCCCUUCCACCGAAUAUCUAAGGUUUCCUGAGGAAGGCUCGUCCGCUCAGGGUUAGUCGGGACCUAAGCCGAGGCCGAUAGGCGUAGGCGAUGGACAACAGGUAGAGAUUCCUGUACCAGUGCUAAUUGUUUAACCGAUGGGGUGACACAGAAGGAUAGGGAAUCGCACGAAUGGAAAUGUGCGUCCAAGCAGUGAGUGUGAGAAGUAGGCAAAUCCGCUUCUCGCGAAGCAUGAGCUGUGAUGGGGAAGGAAAUUAAGUACGGAAGUUCCUGAUUUCACGCUGUCAAGAAAAGCCUCUAGGAAGAGUAGUACUGCCCGUACCGCAAACCGACACAGGUAGAUGAGGAGAGAAUCCUAAGGUGAGCGAGAGAACUCUCGUUAAGGAACUCGGCAAAAUGACCCCGUAACUUCGGGAGAAGGGGUGCUCUAUUAGGGUGCAAGCCCGAGAGAGCCGCAGUGAAUAGGCCCAGGCGACUGUUUAGCAAAAACACAGGUCUCUGCAAAACCGUAAGGUGACGUAUAGGGGCUGACGCCUGCCCGGUGCUGGAAGGUUAAGAGGAGUGCUUAGCUUCGGCGAAGGUACGAAUUGAAGCCCCAGUAAACGGCGGCCGUAACUAUAACGGUCCUAAGGUAGCGAAAUUCCUUGUCGGGUAAGUUCCGACCCGCACGAAAGGCGCAACGAUCUGGGCACUGUCUCAACGAGAGACUCGGUGAAAUUAUAGUACCUGUGAAGAUGCAGGUUACCCGCGACAGGACGGAAAGACCCCGUGGAGCUUUACUGCAACCUGAUAUGGAAUGUUUGUACCGCUUGUACAGGAUAGGUAGGAGCCGAAGAGACGUGUGCGCUAGCAUACGAGGAGGCAAUGGUGGGAUACUACCCUGGCUGUAUGACCAUUCUAACCCGCCACGCUUAGCGCGUGGGGAGACAGUGUCAGGUGGGCAGUUUGACUGGGGCGGUCGCCUCCUAAAGAGUAACGGAGGCGCCCAAAGGUUCCCUCAGAAUGGAUGGAAAUCAUUCGCAGAGUGUAAAGGCACAAGGGAGCUUGACUGCGAGACUGACAAGUCGAGCAGGGACGAAAGUCGGGCUUAGUGAUCCGGUGGUUCCGCAUGGAAGGGCCAUCGCUCAACGGAUAAAAGCUACCCCGGGGAUAACAGGCUUAUCUCCCCCAAGAGUCCACAUCGACGGGGAGGUUUGGCACCUCGAUGUCGGCUCGUCGCAUCCUGGGGCUGUAGUCGGUCCCAAGGGUUGGGCUGUUCGCCCAUUAAAGCGGCACGCGAGCUGGGUUCAGAACGUCGUGAGACAGUUCGGUCCCUAUCCGUCGCGGGCGCAGGAAAUUUGAGAGGAGCUGUCCUUAGUACGAGAGGACCGGGAUGGACACACCGCUGGUGUACCAGUUGUUCCGCCAGGAGCAUCGCUGGGUAGCUAUGUGUGGCAGGGAUAAACGCUGAAAGCAUCUAAGCGUGAAGCCCCCCUCAAGAUGAGAUUUCCCAUUUCUUCGGAAAGUAAGAUCCCUGAAAGAUGAUCAGGUAGAUAGGUUUGGAGUGGAAGUGUAGCGAUACAUGGAGCGGACAAAUACUAAUCGAUCGAGGACUUAACCAAAA